rnacentral:rRNA from 1 species
AUUGAACGCUGGCGGCAUGCUUUACACAUGCAAGUCGAACGGCAGCAUGGGUGCUUGCACCUGAUGGCGAGUGGCGAACGGGUGAGUAAUGUAUCGGAACAUAUCCGCAAGUGGGGGAUAACGUAGCGAAAGUUACGCUAAUACCGCAUAUUCCCUGAGGGGGAAAGGAGGGGAUCCGCAAGGACGUUUCGCUUACGGAGUGGCCGAUAUCAGAUUAGCUAGUUGGUGGGGUAAAGGCCUACCAAGGCGACGAUCUGUAGCGGGUCUGAGAGGAUGAUCCGCCACACUGGGACUGAGACACGGCCCAGACUCCUACGGGAGGCAGCAGUGGGGAAUUUUGGACAAUGGGGGCAACCCUGAUCCAGCCAUGCCGCGUGAGUGAAGAAGGCCUUCGGGUUGUAAAGCCCUUUCAGCUGGAAAAAAAUCGCAUCACCUAAUACGUGGUGUGGAUGAUGGUACCAGCAGAAGAAGCACCGGCUAACUACGUGCCAGCAGCCGCCGUAACAC